rnacentral:rRNA from 1 species
AUUGAACGCUGGCGGCAUGCUUUACACAUGCAAGUCGAACGGCAGCGCGGGCUUCGGCCUGGCGUCGAGUGGCGAACGGGUGAGUAAUGCAUCGGAACGUGCCCAGUAGUGGGGGAUAGCCCGGCGAAAGCCGGACUAAUACCGCAUACGACCUGAGGGUGAAAGCGGGGGAUCGAAAGGCCUCGCGCUAUUUGAGGUGCCGAUGUCGGAUUAGCUAGUUGGUGGGGUAAAGGCUUACCAAGGCGACGAUCCGUAGCUGGUCUGAGAGGACGACCAGCCACACUGGAACUGAGACACGGCCCAGACUCCUACGGGAGGCAGCAGUGGGGAAUUUUGGACAAUGGGCGAAAGCCUGAUCCAGCCAUGCCGCGUGAGGGAAGAAGGUCUUCGGGUUGUAAACCACUUUUAUUCGGGAAGAAAUCCUGUGGGCUAAUACCCCGGGGUGAUGACGUUACCGAAAGAAUAAGCACCGGCUAACUACGUG